rnacentral:hammerhead_ribozyme from 1 species
ACCACGAGUCCCAAAUAGAACGAAACGCGCGUCCUGGGU